CCUACGGGUGGCAGCAGUGGGGAAUUUUCCGCAAUGGGCGAAAGCCUGACGGAGCAAUACCGCGUGUGGGAGGACGGCUUUUGGGUUGUAAACCACUUUUAUCAGGGAAGAAGGUCUGACGGUACCUGAUGAAUCAGCCUCGGCUAACUCCGUGCCAGCAGCCGCGGUAAUACGGAGGAGGCAAGCGUUAUCCGGAAUGAUUGGGCGUAAAGCGUCCGUAGGUGGUGAAUCAAGUCGUUUGUCAAAGCGUGCGGCUUAACCGCAUAGAGGCAGAGGAAAC
rnacentral:rRNA from 1 species